AAGCCCAGGAAACGUCUAAAGUUUGAUCCAAAUUUGCAGGUUGGUUGAGGCUCUGGGCU
rnacentral:tRNA from 1 species